rnacentral:hammerhead_ribozyme from 1 species
AUGCAGCUGGAGAGUCCCAAAUAGGACGAAACGAGCAUCCUGGAU